rnacentral:lncRNA from 1 species
CACCCACAUGUACUUCCCUGGCUUUUUUUUUUUUUUUUCAUAGCACCUAUGUGUAUCUGGCAUACAAUAUAUUUUUUUACUUACUUGUUUAUUGCCUGUGUCAAGUGUUGAUCUCCUCUAACACACACAGAUACAUGCACACACACACCUGUUGAUUAAAAAAAACUAAACUUACUUUUGCUUAAGGGAAAACAUCAUGACAGAGUCUAAGGAGUGUCUCAAAAUGAGGAAAUGAGGGAAAUGUAAAAUGAGACAUGGGGCUUGGGUUAGAUAACUUUAAGGCAGAUCUUGCAAGGGAAAAAACAGAGUUUAUGAUAUAAUAGUUUUGAAUUAGUGGGCUCAGUGAAAUAAGAAUCUUAAAGUGAGGUUUUUUUAAAUACUUUAAGAGAAGAGAGAGAGAGCACAUGAGCAUGGGGAAGUGGGUGUAGAGGUUGAUGGGUGGGGCAGAGGGAGAGGGAGAAGCAUACUCCCCACUGAGCAGAGAGCUCAAAAGGGCUUGAUCCCUGGAUCAAGAGAUCAUGACCUGAGCUGAAGGCAGACACUUAACCAACUGAGCCAUCCAGGCCCCCCUUAAAGUGAGUCUUGAUGGGCUAGCAGUUUUGAUAAAUAAGCCUUUUAGUCAAUUCACAUUAUAUUUCCCCAACCAGCAGCUAAUAUUUUUCUUCGUGAUUAUUUAACACAGAGACUUGAGAAUUGCAUUAGCUUAAAUUCUCUGUUUCGCUUUUUAUCAUUUGCAGGCAAUUGGGAAGAUCACUUAUCACUUGGGGACAUCAUUAAUCUGGAUCUACCCUAUGUUGGAUGUUGUGGUUGACUGUGUUUUCUGAUGGUAGUCAUUUCAACCUUUAGAGUGUCAACUUUUCUUGUUCUUGGUAGAAGAUCAUUAGGAUGCAUAAUGAUUGCACAGCAGCAGAUCUUUUUAGUGAUAUAAAGGACCCAGAGAAAUCUGCAAAUAUAUAAAUAAAAUCUUUUUUGAAAAAUGCAAAUUUUGAGAACACAAGUUCUUCACAGGCGGCCUUCACUUCAGAUACCAGCCACAGGAUUGGCAUUCUCCAGGGUUGACUCUCAUUUCUGACCAGUUGACCACAAAUUGAGGAAGUCCCACAACCAACUCCAGGUUUGAUAAUCUACUAAUUAUCUGUGACAGAUUCACAGAACUCAUGAAUAGUGCUCAUUAAUAUUUGUGAUUGCAGUUAUAGCAAAAGGCUAUAAAUUAGAACCACCCAAAAGAAGAGGUGCAUUGGGUGAAAUC